rnacentral:rRNA from 1 species
AGAGUUUGAUCCUGGCUCAGGACGAACGCUGGCGGCGUGCUUAACACAUGCAAGUCGAACGAAGCUUAAUGACGGAAGUUUUCGGACAGAAGACAUUAAGACUUAGUGGCGGACGGGUGAGUAACGCGUGAGCAACCUGCCUACAAGAGGGGGACAACAGUUGGAAACGACUGCUAAUACCGCAUAAGCCCACGUAUUCGCAUGGAUAUGAGGGAAAAGAUUUAUCGCUUGUAGAUGGGCUCGCGUCCUAUUAGCUAGUUGGUGAGGUAACGGCUCACCAAGGCGACGAUAGGUAGCCGACCUGAGAGGGUGAUCGGCCACACUGGAACUGAGACACGGUCCAG